rnacentral:rRNA from 1 species
UACGGGGCGCAGCAGGCGCGAAAACUUUACCAUGCGGGCAACCGUGAUAAGGAAACCCCGAGUGCCAGCACAGGCUGGCUGUCCGCCAGUUUAAAUAACUGGUGAAGAAAGGGCCGGGCAAGACCGGUGCCAGCCGCCGCGGUAAUACCGGCGGCUCGAGUGGUGGCCGCUAUUACUGGGCUUAAAGGGUCCGUAGCUUGAUAACUGGGUCCCUUGAGAAAUCCGCCAGCUUAACUGGCGGGCGUUCAGGGGAAACUUGUUUUCUAGGGACCGGGAGAGGUGAGGGGUACUGCCGGGGUAGGAGUGAAAUCCUGUAAUCCCGGUGGGACUACCUAUGGCGAAGGCAUCUCACCAGAACGGGUCCGACAGUGAGGGACGAAAGCUGGGGGAGCAAACCGGAUUAGAUACCCGGGUAGUCCUAGCCGUAAACGAUACUCGCUAGGUGUCGGCCACGGUGCGACCGUUGUCGGUGCCGUAGGGAAGCCGUGAAGCGAGCCACCUGGGAAGUACGGCCGCAAGGCUGAAACUUAAAGGAAUUGGCGGGGGAGCACCACAACGGGUGGAGCUUGCGGUUUAAUUGGAUUCAACGCCGGAAAUCUUACCGG